rnacentral:sRNA from 1 species
GCUGUGGAAUGUUUAUUGGGAAGCUCUGCCAAUGUUGAAGCCAUAACGAAUAAUUUAAGGGAAACCUUCGGCAGACCGGAACAACUAAUCAAAAGCCAGAUUGAUAAGGUCCGUAAAAUUCCCCCUUUGGUCCAUGAUAAUUUGGAGGCAUUAGUAAGUUUCGCCAAUAAGACGACAACCAUGGCUACGUUCUUAAAAAACGCUCGUGGAGAACAUCAUCUUUAUAAUUCAUCUUUGUCAAGUGAGCUGGUGGCCAAACUGCCGAUUAAUCGACAAAUGGAAUGGGGUGAGAAAUGUCUGUUUUUAAAAGAAGCUCCUUCUAUUUUAGAUUUCAGCCAAUGGUUAGAAACUUUACGUCGUGUGGCUGACAUCGUCCACAAUACCUUGCCAUAUGUACGAAAUGUUUCCACUAAUCUUCGCCAAGUCACACAACCAAGCCGAAAGUUCGCAUGUGUCGCCGUUAAAAAUUGUACUGUCUGAACGUCAGUCGAAAAAUGUAAACACUUUCUGGAAAUGUCUUGCGACGAAAAAGGGGAAAAAAUAAAAAUGCUAAAAAGCCUGUUUCUUCUGCCUUAAAAAAGGCCACCAACUUGGCCAAUGCAGGUAUAAAAAACCAUGUGGAAAAAAUAAGUGUUCGAAAUAUCACAACAAUUUGCUUGAUAACGAUGUUGCGGACGCUGACAAGAGCGAAAAUUAUUUCUACUUAUGCUUUUAUAGAUGACGGUGCAAAUGUAUCCAUGCUCGAUAAAACAAUUGCCAACGAUUUAGAUCUUCAUGGUAAGCAUUAACAAUUAUCGUUACAGUGGCUGAAUGAGCAUGGUGUGGCUCAAGACUCCGAAGUUCUCGAUGUGACACUUAGUGGAAUCGGGGAAGGAGAUAAAAGAUACACCAUUAAAAAUGUUUAUACGACGUCAGACCUAUCUUUGCCAGUACAAAGUUUUAAUUUGGAAAGUAUUGUAAAAUGUGAAACAAAUCUUGAUGUAUCGAAAAUAAAAUUUGUUAAUUACAAAAAUGUUCAACCCAAA